rnacentral:rRNA from 1 species
GCUUCGAGAACAGGAGCUGGAUAGGUUGGGGGUGUACGCGCAGUAAUGUGUUUAGCUGACCAAUACUAAUCGAACGAAAUUUUAAUCAG